CGGCGGACGGGUGAGUAACGCGUGGAUAACCUGCCUCACACAGGGGAUAACAGUUAGAAAUGACUGUUAAUACCGCAUAAGCGCACGGUACCGCAUGGUACAGUGUGAAAAACUCCGGUGGUGUGAGAUGGAUCCGCGUCUGAUUAGGUAGUUGGUGAGGUAACGGCCCACCAAGCCGACGAUCAGUAGCCGACCUGAGAGGGUGACCGGCCACAUUGGGACUGAGACACGGCCCAA
rnacentral:rRNA from 1 species